rnacentral:snRNA from 9 species
AUAUUUACCUGGCGGAGGGAUACCGUGAGCAUGCAGGCGGUUCCCCCAGGGUGAGGCUGCUCCAUUGCACUGCGGAGUGGUUGAGCUUUGCGAUUAUUUUUAUUUUUUAUAUGUUUCACUUCUACCGUGUGUGACUUGCACACACACACU